rnacentral:rRNA from 1 species
AAAAGCUCAAAUUUGAAAUCUGGCGCCUUCGGUGUCCGAGUUGUAAUUUGAAGAUUGUAACCUUGGGGUUGGCUCUUGUCUAUGUUUCUUGGAACAGGACGUCACAGAGGGUGAGAAUCCCGUGCGAUGAGAUGCCCAAUUCUAUGUAAGGUGCUUUCGAAGAGUCGAGUUGUUUGGGAAUGCAGCUCUAAGUGGGUGGUAAAUUCCAUCUAAAGCUAAAUAUUGGCGAGAGACCGAUAGCGAACAAGUACAGUGAUGGAAAGAUGAAAAGAACUUUGAAAAGAGAGUGAAAAAGUACGUGAAAUUGUUGAAAGGGAAGGGUUUGAGAUCAGACUCGAUAUUUUGUGAGCCUUGCCUUCGUGGCGGGGUGACCCUCAGCUUAUCGGGCCAGCAUCGGUUUGGGCGGUAGGAUAAUGGCGUAAGGAAUGUGACUUUACUUCGGUGAAGUGUUAUAGCCUGCGUUGAUGCUGCCUGCCUAGACCGAGGACUGCGAUUUUAUCAAGGAUGCUGGCAUAAUGAUCCCAAACC